rnacentral:misc_RNA from 1 species
GGCUCGGUGAAGUUUCACUUAGGGGAAAGUGAAUACAGGACACUCUGUUUUUUCUGCUGCCGCCAAACACUUCAUGUACUGCAUAGAUACGUCACACUUGCUUUGUGGUUCAGCAGGCACAACAAGUUCUUUUGAAGGAUCGUCCACAUUGUCUGCGUCGAAAUAUUUUACGGUUCCAUCCAUCAAAGCAGCUGCUAAUCCACUGGUACAUUUGCCAACUCUCUGAAUCAUAACGUCUUUCUCACUACCGUCAAGUUUUUCGUUCAUGAAAAUCGUUAGCUUGUCCACACAAGGUACAUCGUACUUCGCGUUUAGCAAAUUCAGAACACGGAAGAUGCAGUAGUAGUAAUUGCACUCGUCUUCUCCUUCCUCAAUUUUUU